rnacentral:rRNA from 1 species
AUGGCGAGGGGAAUAGCGCGGGCGGCGUCGUUCGGCGGCCGCGCGACUGCGGCGGGGUGGUUCUCGUACCGGCGCAUCACCGUGGCCGUCUGCCUCGCCAACCUCGUCGUCGCGCUGCUCGUGCUCCGCUCCCUCACCUCCUUCGCCCCCGGGCCCAAACGGGUUGAGGUGGUGCAGUACACGGAGGAGCAGAUUAGGAGGGUGGAGGAGUCGAUCCGGAUUCGCCGCGAGGCCGAGCCCGUCGAGCUCGUCCAGGCGGUGAAGAAGCUGCAGAAGGUUUUUGCACGGGAGGAGAAAAGGCGGAAGGAGCUGCCUCUCGAGCUGAAGCUGAGGGUAUCGUAUGAGCUUGUGGGGCGGCUGAACAAGCUAGGGGAUAACGGCAGUGCCAUCCAGCAACGAGAAGCUUUGGAAUCAUGGCGUGUUGAGACGCUAAAAGAUGCAAAAAGUGCAUCUACACAGAAUUCAUCAAAUUUGGGCCUCUCCAGUGAGGAAGCACGAUUGUUAAAGCGAGCCCUGGAGUUCAACUGGCAUGGGCUAUUGGAGGAUAUUGGUCUUUGGAUUUCACCAGAAGUCCCACACACCGAGCAUGAUGACAAACCUGAGAAUGAACCAGAAGAAGAAGAAAUAAUAGCUGGUCCACCUUUGCAUCCACAAUGCAACACUGAGCUACAUGCCGAUUAUGGUGGCGCUGCUGUGAGAUGGGGAUUAACGCACCACAAAGAAUCUGCUGCUGAUUGUUGUCAAGCAUGUCUAGACCAGGCUAGGAAUGCCAAGCCAGGUGAAUUGAAGUGCAAUAUAUGGGUAUAUUGCCCAUCAGAGUUUGGUUGCUAUUCACCAGAUAAAUAUGAGCAUAAACAUCAGGAGUGCUGGUUGAAACAGGCUGACCAGCCUAAACUGAACUUCAAAGACAAGUAUUCCGAGUCUUACAGAGAUUCUCAUCCGAGAGCCCCUGUUGUUGUGCCCUGGAUGUCAGGUGUCACCAGCGCGUGA